GCCCAAUUUACUUCAAACCAGAUUCCUGAGGUAUGUACUAUAUAAAGUGGUUCCUAUUUACACUAUAUAGACUUCAAUCAAGAGUACAUUCGGAUAGUCUAUUCUAGAGCAUAUAUAAUAGAGAAUCAGCACAAAUAGCUGCAAUGCACCAAGAUAAAAUGUCAAGGUAACACAAGCAUUUUAGCACCAGCAAUAUGCAGAUUUAUGUCACGGCUUCAACGGAUUCCUUCAAAAUUAAGGAAAAUCAAAAUCAGCGCAAGAUUACGGUUUCACCUCAAAGGAAGUGGUCAUCAACGACAACCUUGGAUACCCAAAAGCCUCCUGUCGCAACUGUGGUUUCACUACCUAUUGUCAAAUACCAUUGGCUGAGAAAUGAGAACUCAUCUAGUAUCAUUGUCAUCAAGACCCAAAUCUAUCUCUUCGCACAAUUUCUCAAACAUCACUUGACUCUUAGGAUAUCGGUAAUCAAUAGAUUGUAAGCUGAAAUAAGCAUAAAACUGCAUAUGAUACCCUGCAUAAAAUACAACUUGUAUCAAAGUUUGUUAUUAACAUUGAAUAUGGACCAGAAAAGAGUAGGGUUGGUCCUUACUGCAAUAGUUAAUUUUCCAUCAUCCUCACUCUGCCUAACAUGAUGGAACCACAUCACAUGCUUGGCCUUCAUUCAUUCCAUCCUCUCAUUAUCAGCAUUAUCAUAUACAUAUAUAUACAGAAAAGGACACUUAAAAAAUUAUUGCGUCGGGACACCUUUUCCUUUAUUUGUCAACUCAUUCACAUACUUUUGAUCUUGAAAACUUAACUCUUCAAAGGUCUUCUCAUGUUUCAGUGCACCUACCAACAUUAUAUAUGUUGAGUCCAACGAGUCUCAACAUCUAGGCAAACUGAACUUAGUCAAUGCUCUCAUCAAUAAUUCCAUGAAUUUAACAAGAUUCAUAGGAGAAGAUCUAACGUACCACACAGCAUGUGAACAUCUUCACCAUUGCUCUUCGAAUUGCCUCUUGGUCAAACUUGGCAACUAAAGAAGAAUUCACAUGUCCUUCUGCACUUGUCAUUGAAGAUGACAAUGACAAUCUUUGCCUCUUGUAAUCGCAACAUCUAUUGAUAUGAGCACGCACAGAACUAGUUCCAUUUCACACUUGAUUUUUCCACCCCAACAAUGGCAUGCAACUUUCUUUUCUAUGCCACACCCUAAUGAAAUGAUUCCAUGACUCUGAACGCUUCUUAGUUUGAGUAGGUAACAUUGCAGAUGUUGGAAACUGUACUCUCUGAAGUUGCAGAUGUUGGAAGAUUACCAUCAUUAGUCAUCUUGAUUCUAUAAAACAUAAAGAAACAGAUUAGAGAAGUUAAAAAAGAAUUGUUGCUCAUCAAACUAGAAAGUGCAGAAAAAUGCAUGGGCUACUUUCCUUCACAAUUGAUACACAUAAUUAAUUUGCUUGCAGUUCAUCCUAGAAGUUAAACACAGAGCUACGACUUUCUCCAAGAAGUUCAAUGAUACAAGUAUAUUUACAAUCUAACAUUUUUCAAGUGAAACCACAUUUUCGUGAUACAAUAAGCGAAAGUUCCAUGUGAAAAGUGCAUAUUACAUUAACUUACAUAAGAUUAUUAUUUUUUGAAGAAACUUACAUGGGAUUAUUAAAAAAAGAUCCCACAAAUUAAGU
rnacentral:lncRNA from 1 species